UUCUCUUUUUGAAUCACUUCAUUUAGAGUUUUGUAGCUUAAGUUAUGCCCAUUUAACCAUAACUGGCCAGAUUGGCCAAUUCCAGAAUUCUGGACAAAUUUUAGAUUCUGACAGAUUUGGUGAUCAAACUUGUGCUAGAAAUUUGAUUUGGUUAGAAGCCAAACUAGGUUCUGAGUUCUUUAUGAAAUUUGUUCUACUAUGUCAUAGCUUUCCAAUGGUAUAAAAAUCAGGUCAUUUGGACA
rnacentral:misc_RNA from 1 species